rnacentral:rRNA from 1 species
UACGAAGGGUGCAAGCGUUACUCGGAAUUACUGGGCGUAAAGCGUGCGUAGGCGGUUUGUUAAGUCCGUUGUGAAAGCCCUGGGCUCAACCUGGGAAUUGCAGUGGAUACUGGCGAGCUAGAGUGCGGUAGAGGAUGGUGGAAUUCCCGGUGUAGCAGUGAAAUGCGUAGAGAUCGGGAGGAACAUCAGUUGCGAAGGCGGCUCUCUGGACCAGUACUGACGCUGAGGCACGAAAGCGUGGGGAGCAAACAGG